rnacentral:lncRNA from 1 species
UAGUUAGGGCAUUCACGUUGAGGCCACUACAGUUUAAUGUGGUGGUGCAGGCCCGCCAUGUCCCAGGCAUCGAUAACGGGAUUGCCGAUGCUCUUUCACGCCAACAGAUCCAGCGUUUCAGGGAACUGGCACCGGAGGCCAGGGAUCUGCCAGAAGUGCUUCCGGCAGAGGUCUGGCAGAUUGGCGUGAGGAAGCAUCAAGAGCAAUAGGUAUGGUGCUGGCCCCGAGAACACGCAAAAAAUACAUAGCUGUAGGUACCAAGUUUUUGGAAUUUAGAAGAGCGCUACAAUUGGAACAAAUUUGGCCUGCACCGGUGGAGCAUAUACAACAAUUUAUUGUGGCCCUGCAUGGUAGGGGCUUGGCGCCAAUUACUAUACGCGGCAAAUUGGCUGCUUUGGGGUUUUAUGCUAAGGCGAACGGGUUUAAGGAUUACUCAGGGGAUUUUCGGAUCAGGAAGAUGUUGGAAGGGUGGUCCCGGGAGAGGGGAAGUUUGCCAGAUGGUAGGACACCCAUAUCUCCGGUUAUCCUGGAACGGUUAUGUGGGUUAUGGGGAUUUCUUUGUAGGGAUAGUUAUGAGGAGGCACUUUUUCAUGCAGCAGCGCUGGUAGCCUUUUUUGGGGCUUUGCGGGUUAGUGAGUUGGUAGCUUUGGCUAAGGGGGAUUUAUCGAGGAAGGCUUUACAGUUGGAGGAUGUAACAAUGAAAGAAGGGCAGGUGAAGUUUAGGAUUAGGAGUUCUAAAACGGAUCAAGAGCAUAAAGGCAGAAUUGUGGUUUUGGGGAGGUGUGGUAUGCAUAAUAUAUGUCCUGUAAAGGCAGUAGAGGGAUUUUUGAAGAUCAGAGGGCCGGAAGGUGGUUAUUUAUUUCAACAUAAGGAUAGAUCACCACUUACGAAAUAUCAAUUUUGGAAGUUAACUGACAUGGCGCUGGAAAGAGUAGGGGUUAAAAACACAAGAUUCGGGACACAUUCUUUUAGGAUAGGGGCGGCUUCAACAGCAGCAGCCAUGGGUUAUACUGCAGAGCAGAUUAAGCAGUUGGGUAGGUGGUCAUCCAAUUGUUACCAAAGGUAUGUUAGACAACUCCCUAACGUAUAGGCAGUGUUUGU